GUGGGGAAUAUUGCGCAAUGGGGGAAACCCUGACGCAGCGACGCCGAGUGAGGGAAGAAGGCUUUCGGGUCGUAAACCUCUGUCAGAAAGGAAGAACCUCCCAAGUCCGAAUAGGGCUUGGGACUGACGGUACUUUCAAAGGAAGCACCGGCUAACUCCGUGCCAGCAGCCGCGGUAAUACGGAGGGUGCAAGCGUUAAUCGGAAUCACUGGGCGUAAAGCGCGCGUAGGCCGCUUUGUAAGUCGGACGUGAAAGCCCUCGGCUCAACCGGGGAACUGCGUUCGAUACUGCGAGGCUUGAGUCCUGGAGAGGGUGGCGGAAUUCCGGGUAUAGGAGUGAAAUCCGUAGAUAUCCGGAGGAACACCGGUGGCGAAGGCGGCCACCUGGACAGGUACUGACGCUGAGGCGCGAAAGCGUGGGGAGCAAACAGGAUUAGAAACCCCGGUAGUCC
rnacentral:rRNA from 1 species